GGCUGAGUGGUGUAGUGGUUAUCACAUCUCGUUCACAUAGUUGAAUCCAUUGGUCCAAAAACCAAGCCGAGAAGGUCGCAGGUUCGAAACCUGCCUUAGUCA